rnacentral:rRNA from 1 species
CAGAGGGUGCGAGCGUUGUUCGGAAUUACUGGGCGUAAAGCGCGCGCAGGCGGCCCUUUAAGUCUGUCGGUCAAUGCCGGGGCUCAACCCCGGGCGUGCCGAGGAUACUGGAGGGCUGGAGACACGUAGAGGCAAGCGGAAUUCCGGGUGUAGCGGUGGAAUGCGUAGAGAUCCGGAAGAACACCGGAGGCGAAGGCGGCUUGCUGGGCGUGAUCUGACGCUGAGGCGCGAAAGCGUGGGGAGCGAACAGGAUUAGAUACCCUGGUAGUCCACGCCGUAAACGAUGGGCACUAGACGCUGGUGGGAUCGACCCCUUCGGUGUCGCAGCUAACGCGAUAAGUGCCCCGCCUGGGGAGUACGGCCGCAAGGCUG